GCUUCCUGUUUCCGCCAUUUCAAGGGAUGGCGCUCCCAUCUCUUUAAGCUGCCGCUCUUCCAACUUGGCAGGGCUGAUUAGGAAGACCCAGUUCCUGACCACCGAUGCUUUGCUACGCUAGGCUGGAAAAUGCCUCCCUCUGCCCUUGAGAAGGGGGUCUGAAUGUUUUGCGGGACUGACACCGCAGCAACAUGCCGGUGUGUUUCACGCUGCUGCCUCCUGUUUCCCUUGAAGCUUUCACCAGACCCUGGAUUUCUUUUUCACUUCCUGUUCUGAGCCAUCGCCGGGCACUCAUUACCCACCAGCUGUGUCCCAGCUGCCGCAUUCUACACUAGAGGUGGCGCCCUGCACCCGGCGGAUACUACUUGUUGUCCACUUUUUCUCCUUUUCAUUUCCUUUUGGUGAAGAAAUGAAGAGAAUCAGACUACCCACCUUGGAUUCUGAUAUGAAAGAUUUAGGAUAAAAGAGCUACUCCAUCAGCCUGGAAAGAUGACUCACUGGCAAACUCUUAGAUAAAGCUAAACUUCACACCAAACUGCAAGAGAGUCUAAGAAUGAAGAGAAAACUGCUUUGGCAAGCAACUACCUAGUCUCUGACACAGUCCACCUUUUUGGUCAGCCAAUAUCCAGCUCCGCCUUGUCUUCUUACACAAAGCCCAGGCAAAGCCCAGGAUUGCUAACUGUUGUACAAACCUGUUGGUCAGGCCUAGAUGGAAGCUUUCAACCCCAUUUCAAGUCAGCUGGCUUAUCCAACCCUGAAAGGUCUGUGAUCUCUCAGUUCUUUUUAUAAACAGGCCUCUGCUUGCAAAUGGCCAAUUCUUGCCUGAGCUCAUCUCUUUCUUGUAAUACUUUAUGAAAGGCAGCCAGUAGUAACUAAUGCAUAAAUUUUUCCAACCAACUGGCCCAAAGGUCAGUAGACCUUUUUACCAAAUGUUUCGCAAUGUAUAGCAUGAAUCUCCAUCUUUCUCCUCUCUGUUAUCAGGUUCCUCAGUGCCCAACCAUUAUGUCAAUGCCUUUUACCUUAAUUUUUUUCUUAUGGCAACAUUUUCUUCUGGAAUUAUUUCUGUACUGUAGCAAAUGCCCUAAACUGUGUAAAACAGUUUGAAGACACUAUUUUUUUUUCUAUUUUUAUCAUUUGUUCCUCGGUCUACUCAAUACGCUCCCUGCUUAAAACUCCCCUAGUGAUUUUCUGUUGGGUUUAAAAUAGAGUCUAAACUCUUUACCAUGGAUUACAAGCUUCUCUGUUAACUGGUUGUAACCUGCAUUUCCAGCCUCCUUUGGCGCCACUCUUGUCCCACCAACUAUAUCACAUUUCCUUUGGAACAUUUUCUGCUUCUUGAACUUGCCCAGGUCCUUGCUGUUAGCUGGUCCCUUUGCCUAUGAUGAUCUUCCUUCUUAGCAUCACUUGAACUGCAAAAAAUAAAAAAUGAAACAAAAAACAAACUCCUGUGUGUUAUUUACAUCUAGAGGUUUAAAUGUAAUCUCCUUAAAUAGACUUUCUCUGACUUCAUACACCCUAUUUUAAUUCUUUGCAUAGCACUUAUUACUAUCUGAUUUCUUCUUCUCUCUUUCUCCUUCCUUCUUUCUUUUUUCUGUCUUUCCAUCCUACUUUCCUUCGUCCUUCCUUCUUUUCCCUCCCUCCCUUCCUUCCUCCCUCCCUUCCUUCCUUCCUUUCUUCCUUCCUUCCUUCUCUCUCCUAUUAGGAUAGAAGCUUCAUGAGACCAAAAAUCUGUUCAAUGUUAUUCCAUGGCUGUUACAUCAAAAAAAUUAACAAUGCCUAAGCCUUUGUAAUUGUCUAAUAAAUAUUUGUUAGGUGAGUGAA